GGGUUACUUAUCACUUCGUUAUUGAGUUUUAAAAGUUCUUUACAUAGUCUAGAUAUAGUCUAGAUACAAGUCCCUUGUCAGGUAUGUGAUGUGCAAAAAUUUUCUCCCAUUCUGUGGGUUGUCUUUUUAAUGCCUGUGAACAUUUUUAUUUUUAAUUAUUGUGGGUACGUAGUAGGUGCACAUAGUAGGUGAAUAUUUUAAUGUCUAUCUUCUGUUAUUUCUGGUAUUAAUUUGUGUCUUUUUUUCUUUAAGAGUCUAGUCUAAUUCUUAAAAUUAGCAUGGAAGAGUUCCUUCACUGAGUUUCACUUAAUAUUAAGUAACAUCUUGUAUAACCAUAGUAUAAUUAUUAAAAUUAAGAAGUUAACAUUGAUACAGUACCACUAACUCAAUGACAGACCUUAUUCAGGUUUCCGCAGUGUUUCUAGUAUGUCCUUUUUCUGUUCCAGGAGCCAAUUCGGGUUCCCACAUUGUGCUUUGUUGUCAUGUCUCCUUAGUCUCCACUAAUCUAUGAUAGUUCCUUAUCUUUACUGUUUUUCAUGAUCUUGACAGCUUGAAGAGUUAUUUUGUAGACUGUCUCUCAAGCUGGAACUAAUGUUUCCUCAUGACUAGACCGACAUUGGCCUUUUCAGUUUAUCCUAUGGCGAGGGGCACAUAGUGUCAUUAAGUCUUAAUACUGUGGUGGUGUUGACAUGGAUCACCUAGUUCAGGUGGUGGUGGCCAGGACCCUCCACUGGAGGUUACUACUUUCCCUUUGUAAUCCAUAAAUACUUUGAAAGAUAUUUUGAGGUGAUGCAAAUAUCUCAUGUCUGCUCAAAGUUUCUCUCACUAGUUUAAACAUACAUCAUGUAUCUUGUUUGCAACAGUUACUAUAGUUUUCUAACGGUGAUCUUCUCUUUCCCUAUUCCUUCUGCUUAUAUUAAUUGCAGUUUUUCUUGUAAAGAAGAGCUAUCCCUUCUCCCUUAUUUACUUAUAUCAGUAUUGAC
rnacentral:lncRNA from 10 species